CUACCACACCUGGUCCACAGAGAAAGAUCAGGUGUGCUUUAUACCUUUAAAAGAAGCAAUAGACCAUGCAAUCCAUGCCUUGGCCCUAAUAGAGCCAGCCUGGUGAAGUAGAGACUUUGCCUGUUAUCCAUGGGUGUGGAGAAGGUAUUUGACAGGGUCAAAUGAAGUUUUCUCUUCUCUACUUUGAAAUCAAUGGGAAUAAGCCCACAUGUGCACGGAUGGAUCUCUGCUUUCUAUCUGGACCCCCACAGCAAGAAUC